GACGAACCGUGCGAACGUUAUUCGGAAUCACUGGGCUUAAAGCGCGUGUAGGCGGGCCGCCACGUCUGGCGCUGAAAUCCCCCGGCUCAACCGGGGAACGGGCACCGAUACGAGCGGCCUGGAGGGGAGUAGGGGGACCUGGAACUUCCGGUGGAGCGGUGAAAUGCGUAGAUAUCGGGAGGAAUACCGAUGGCGAAGGCAGGUCUCUGGGCUGACACUGACGCUCAUGCACGAAAGCGUGGGGAGCAAACAGG
rnacentral:rRNA from 1 species